AUUGAACGCUGGCGGAAUGCUUUACACAUGCAAGUCGAACGGCAGCACGGGAGCUUGCUCCUGGUGGCGAGUGGCGAACGGGUGAGUAACAUAUCGGAACGUACCCAGUCGUGGGGGAUAACUAUCCGAAAGGAUAGCUAAUACCGCAUACGUCCUGAGGGAGAAAGCGGGGGAUCGCAAGACCUCGCGCGAUUGGAGCGGCCGAUAUCGGAUUAGCUAGUUGGUGGGGUAAAGGCUCACCAAGGCGACGAUCCGUAGCGGGUCUGAGAGGACGACCCGCCACACUGGAACUGAGACACGGUCCAGACUCCUACGGGAGGCAGCAGUGGGGAAUUUUGGACAAUGGGGGGCAACCCUGAUCCAGCCAUUCCGCGUGAGUGAAGAAGGCCUUCGGGUUGUAAAGCUCUUUCUAGCAGG
rnacentral:rRNA from 1 species